rnacentral:rRNA from 1 species
UUUUAUAUGAGAGUUUGAUCCUGGCUCAGGAUGAACGCCGGCGGUGUGCCUAAUACAUGCAAGUCGAACGCGUUGGCCCAACUGAUUGGACGUGCUUGCACGGACUUGACGUUGGUUUACCAGCGAGUGGCGGACGGGUGAGUAACACGUAGGUAAC